rnacentral:misc_RNA from 1 species
AGCAGCCGCGGUAAUUCCAGCUCCAAUAGCGUAUAUUAAAGUUGCUGCAGUUAAAAAGCUCGUAGUUGAAUUUCGGGGAUCAAUAUGUUGGUCGUGCCUCGGUACGUACUAGCUUAUUGGUUUCUUCCUUCUGACGAACCAUAAUGUCAUUUAUUUGGUGUUAUGGGGAAUCAGGACUGUUACUUUGAAAAAAUUAGAGUGUUUAAAGCAGGCUCACGCUUGAAUACAUUAGCAUGGAAUAAUGAAAUAGGACGUUUGAUUCUAUUUUGUUGGUUUCUAGGAUCGACGUAAUGAUUAAUAGGGAUAGUUGGGGGCAUUAGUAUUCAAUUGUCAGAGGUGAAAUUCUUGGAUUUAUUGAAGACUAACUACUGCGAAAGCAUUUGCCAAGGAUGUUUUCAUUAAUCAAGAACGAAAGUUAGGGGAUCGAAGACGAUCAGAUACCGUCGUAGUCUUAACCAUAAACUAUGCCGACUAGGGAUCGGAUGAUGUUAAUUUUUUAAUGACUCAUUCGGCGCCUUAA